rnacentral:rRNA from 1 species
GAUGAACGCUGGCGGCGUGCCUAAUACAUGCAAGUCGAGCGAACAGACGAGGAGCUUGCUCCUCUGACGUUAGCGGCGGACGGGUGAGUAACACGUGGAUAACCUACCUAUAAGACUGGGAUAACUUCGGGAAACCGGAGCUAAUACCGGAUAACAUGUUAAACCGCAUGGUUCAACAGUGAAAGACGGUUUUGCUGUCACUUAUAGAUGGAUCCGCGUCGCAUUAGCUAGUUGGUAAGGUAACGGCUUACCAAGGCAACGAUGCGUAGCCGACCUGAGAGGGUGAUCGGCCACACUGGAACUGAGACACGGUCCAGACUCCUACGGGAGGCAGCAGUAGGGAAUCUUCCGCAAUGGGCGAAAGCCUGACGGAGCAACGCCGCGUGAGUGAAGAAGGUCUUCGGAUCGUAAAACUCUGUCAUUAGGGAAGAACAAAUGUGUAAGUAACUAUGCACGUCUUGACGGUACCCAAUCAGAAAGCCACGGCUAACUACGUG